rnacentral:lncRNA from 1 species
CUUACUUCUCAUUAAAUCUCUUACCUCAUGCUGUCGUAAACAUGGGUCAGACUCAGCCCUUGGUCAGGGCCCCAUAAUUGGCUUAUUGGAAUUGGCUGCCCGGAAUGCCUGCCCCAGGUGUAGACAGAAUAAUGACCUGAAAAGCUGGCAGGGUCUCCUGGAUUUUGACAUUUGCUGCGUGGGUUCUCCAUAUGCUGUUGCCAGUUACUGAAUCAGGAGGAAAAGCAAGAGCCUGCUGGUCACAGCUCUGGGCACUGGAGAACAACGCAGAACAAAACAGGAAGAAAACAACAACAUUGGUGGAAGGAGGAUUAUCUGAAAUUAGAGGGAAAGCUGUACAGCAGAUGUGGAGAGUUGAGUCUUCUAGCCACGAGUUGAAGCCGCUGCAGAUCUUUGAAAUCUAUGUGUCUGUGUGUAUUUCUCCUUGACCAGGUUCAACUGCAUGUGGUUUUCUGCCUUCACUGAUGUUUCUUCCUGAUAAAACCACAAAUAAGCAAAUGUGACAUUUACAGUAUACUUAAAUUAUUCCUUUGUAUAUCAAUCACCUUGGAACAAAUUUAUAUUUUCACAGCAAGUAUUAUAGUAAAAC